rnacentral:lncRNA from 1 species
CCCCUCCUCCCCCCACCAGGCCUGCCCCCUCCCACAUCCUGUCUCCAGCUCACGCUAUUGGUGGGUCUCAAGGAGAAGCUCCGCCCACCAGGAAGGGCCAGAUGCCGAUGAUUCCGAUAAGCGAUGCCCGCAGCGACCUGUUGGCUGCCAUACGUAGAGGUGUGAUUCUGAUGAGCAAUGCUCGCAGUGAACUGCUGACAGCCAUAUGCAGAGGUAUCCAAUUGAGGAAGGUACAGGAGCAGAGAGAGCAGGAAGCGAAGAGAGAGCCCGUAGGAAACGACGUGGCCACCAUUCUCUCACGUCGCAUCGCCGUCGAGUACAGCGAAUCAGAGUCUGACUCCGGCGGGGAGGACAACGGGGAGUGGUCCGACUGAGAGGGGUCAUGGGUCAAGGGAUAAGGCUUUUGAGGAAACGGAGUCUAGUUUGGUCUGGAAGGAUGGGAGUGUAUGGAGUGAUUUUAGCACCCCCCAAAAUUCUGACUCAAUAUCACUCAACAGAAUUGUGUCUCAAAUGUUUUCUAUCUUUCUUCCUGUAUUCACAGAUCUGAAAUGACUUGGUAGGUGGAUAGGCAGUAUGAUGAUGUUUUAGCUUCGGUCAGAUCUAUGGAUACUGAAGGGGGAGAGGAAUGAGGCUAUAGAAUACACCCCCCCCCCCCUCCCUCCCCCCCAAUCACUUAGUUAGCCACUCAAUCAAUCAACCAAUCAAUCAUUAAUGUUAUGCUUCAGUAUUACAGUACUUAGCAGUGAGCAGUACAACACUACAAGACAUGGCUAUGACCUUGCUGGGGUAAACUAAAUGGGGUUGGUUGAGGAUGAGGAGCACAAGUCAGCUUGUGUCAAGGUGGGUGUCACGUUUUUAUUAAGUUAUUCCCUCAAUUAUUUAUUUAACGUGGCUCAUACAUAACCUAGACAGGAGUACAUCUGAGAAAAGUUACAGGCCACGUCCAACAUGGCACCCUGUUCACUACGUAGUGCACUACUUUUGACCUGGGCCCAUAGAGCUCUGGUCUAAAGUAGUGCACUAUAUAGAGGAUAGGGUGCCGUUUGGGAUGCACACUGUGACUAAAAAGAUGGAAAUAUAUACCCAUAGCAACCAACUCCAAUUAUGGGAAGGUUCAGCUGGUUGCCCUGGACAAUGCUAAAUCUAGAACACAAACAGACGCCAUUCCGGUAGAUUCUUACCACAGAGCGCGGGGGUGUUGGGGAGGCGGUGGGAUGAUGCGUCCCUGAAAUGCCACGUGUGAAACUGCGUAGGAUCGCACACAAACACACGCACACACACAACAAAGGUGUAGGAUCCCACCUUUUCUCCACUUGUAAACAACAACAAGAAAAACAACCUGGUAACCAAAGAAAACCCAACUUUACAGUUUCACCACCUCAAGUUUUAAAAUGUAUGUCUUAAGAGAAUAAUAAAAAACACUAUAUAUAUAUAUAAAUAUAAACAUAUCAAAUGAAACACGACAUAGUUUUACAUAAGCAACAGCUACUCUGUAUGAGGGUCAGUGAGAUUUGAGUAUGAUGUAGUGGGUUGACUUAUUUUCAAGGGCAAGUUUUCAGCGCAAGAUGAAUUGUGGGAAAUGUAGUCAUCAAUCACAAUAUUAGACAAGUUUUAUUCUGUACUGAAGCCUCUGCUUGUGGUGUACUAUAUGAAGUAGCUUUGUACAUCUGCACAGAUGCCUAAGUUCCUCCAUCUAACGUUAUUCACAAUGCUUACUGUAUCUGCUCAGUGCUUGUAGAUCAGGGGUCUUAAACUACAGGCCCAUGAUCCAAAAGUGGCCCCUGAGCCGAUUUAAGUAAUAUGGCCCCCAGGGAAAAAUGAUAUUGAGACCACACUUGCAGAGGAUAUAGUCCUAACAUUUUUUUUAAAGUAUGGGUUUUAAACUAACGAAGAAAGGCAUGGAGAAAGACAGACACUGAAAAUACUUUCUUUUGCGUUGUUUCAAUGUGCCACGGAUAGCAAAUAAAAAGGGACACUGCACCAUUAAAUAGCACAUCUAAACUAAGUAUACAUACAGCUCGACUUGGGGAUGAAGUUGAAUCCUAGACAAUGAUCUAAGAGCAGUUUUGUGGUUUUCCCGCUAGUUAAGUUAAGUUAAGUUUUCCCGCUAAUAGUUAAGGUUACGAUUGGAGGAUGGGUAAGCUGAUCCUAGAUCUGUAUCUAAGAGAAACUUCAGUGUACAGUAGAAGAACAGCUGUGAAUGUGAAAUUGAUUAUCUAAAUGUUUGUAUAGGGAGUUAUCCACCUCAUUUUCGAACGCUUUUAAAAUAUGACGCCAAACGCGGAAACUAUGGAUACAUGUUUCUCCGCGCUUGCGCAUUAUCAUAAUUCAUAUGCGCGCCACUAGGAACUCCUGCAUUAGCAUGUUUCUGUUAGCGGAGAAAUCAUGACAAAAUACACCGUGUGUUAUUGUCCUGCUGAUGUGCCUGGACCUUGUAGGCUGAACUGCUCAUAACAAAAACAUAACAGAUCCAAAUGGUUGUCCAGUCAGGCAUGUUAGUUUCAUUUAUUUCCAAAUUAAUAUGUAUUUUAAAAGCCAGGCUUUUGAGCGGUUAUUCAAAUGACAUAGGGUAUUCACUGCAGUUUAUGGCCCAGACUAGAGUUUUCUACGCACUUGAAAACAAUAAUAACAUACUUCAUUGCAUUGUGUUGUUGUAGCCUAGGUAGGGUACAUUUCUUGUCCCUAAAAAACAAUGUACCCACGGACUUGGAGGGACCGCACUCAGCGCAGAAUCGGGAGCGCUAACUAUGAUUUCACUAUCUGAAAAGCACUUUUUCUUUCACUGUGUAAAUUGACUGGAUAAAUUGACUGCAGUAUUAUGCCUAACAUUGAGCUCAUGAAUUAUGGUCUGAUAUGCAUAAGCUUCUAACUUAGGCUGUAGGUCACAGUACAUCCCCAGCCUGUCUGUCUGUCUUCAUUGCUCUGAUGAGCAAUUACGCACUUAUCCUCUCCGCUGCCACGGCUAUUCCUUUUAAAUAUUGUGGAGUCCAAGGAAAAGCCAGUCUACAAAAACUUAUUUGACAGGUAUUUCGACUUAUUUUCUUUAGCCUACUAAUAUCCUAUUGGAGGAGAGAUGCACGCUUGCGGCCUGCUUGCUGGAUGUGAAAUAGGCUACAGCGUUAAGAACGGGCAGGGAGUUGGAAAGGAGGAGCCCGUAUUGUCCUAUCCUGUUAACCAGCGGACUACAUCCUGACUAAAUAGGCCUACACCGUAUGAGUGACCUAAUAAUGUACCUUUCUGGACCUUCUAAACUGUCAAGAAUAGACCCAGACUGAUCCAAAUGGCUGCAUACUCAGGCCUAGGCUGGUACGCUACUGUAUGCAGUUAUUUCGGUAUGAAACAAAACAGGAUGUGUGAGCGGUUAUUCUAAUUAGCCUACAUCACUGCAGUUUACAGCAUAUAGACAAUAAUUGUGUACUCACUUGAUAACAAUAAUAUCAGGUAUAAUAAUUUUAUGGCCUAAUAUCUAGCUAAUAUUUACCUUCUUACUUACAACAGCUAUAGCACAUGUAGUUUGAUCCUUUUUUAUACUAGGCCUAAUAGUCUGUUCGAUGGGAAAGAAGCAGGCUUGCUCUUGCUAAUUGCCGAAUGUAAAACAGGCCUACAGCAUAGAAAACGCAUGUUGGGGAAAGUUGAGGAAAUCGUGUGAUCACUUUUGGCCGGUUAUGAUAAUAUUGUUGCACUGAUACAUUGCAAAUAGUUUCAGAGGACAUACAGAGAUGAGAACUGUAAAAAAGAAGACCUCAAAAAAUCACUUGCAACCCACUUGAGCAAGAGGGCAAAUACAUGCUGUAAAAUAUGUGCAGGCUAAACAGUGUUUGUUGUUGAAUUGCUACAUUUAAAUUUGAGGUACUAUAUUGCUUUUCAUUAGGCCUUGAUUCACAUAUUAUAAUUUGCAGUUGUCACUAUGACAAUGAACACACCCUGAAAGCACCGAAUGGUCUGAACCAGAUUCUGUGUGUUAGAGACCUCAUGAAUGGUCUGAACCAGUAUCUGUGUGUUAGAGACCUCAUGAAUGGUCUGAACCAGUAUCUGUGUGUUAGAGACCUCAUGAAUGGUCUGAACCAGAUUAUGUGUGUUAGAGACCUCAUGAAUGGUCUGAACCAGAUUCUGUGUGUUAGAGACCUCAUGAAUGGUCUGAACCAGAUUCUGUGUGUUAGAGACCUCAUGAAUGAUCUGAACCAGUAUCUUUGUGUUAGAGACCUCAUGAAUGGUCUGAACCAGAUUCUGUGUGUUAGAGACCUCAUGAAUGAUCUGAACCAGUGUCUGUGUGUUAGAGACCUCAUGAAUGGUCUGAACCAGAUUCUGUGUGUUAGAGACCUCAUGAAUGGUCAGAACCAGAUUAUGUGUGUUAGAGACUUCAUGAAUGGUCUGAACCAGAUUCUGUGUGUUAGAGACCUCAUGAAUGGUCUGAACCAGAUUCUGUGUGUUAGAGACCUCAUGAAUGGUCUGAACCAGAUUCUGUGUGUUAGAGACCUCAUGAAUGGUCUGAACCAGAUUCUGUGUGUUAGAGACCUCAUGAAUGGUCUGAACCAGAUUCUGUGUGUUAGAGACCUCAUGAAUGGUCUGAACCAGAUUCUGUGUCUUAGAGACCUCAUGAAUGGUCUGAACUGGUAUCUGUGUGUUAGAGACCUCAUGAAUGGUCUGAACCAGAUUAUGUGUGUUAGAGACCUCAUGAAUGGUCUGAACCAGAUUCUGUGUGUUAGAGACCUCAUGAAUGGUCUGAACCAGAUUCUGUGUGUUAGAGACCUCAUGAAUGGUCUGAACUGGUAUCUGUGUGUUAGAGACCUCAUGAAUGGUCUGAACCAGAUUAUGUGUGUUAGAGACCUCAUGAAUGGUCUGAACCAGAUUCUGUGUGUUAGAGACCUCAGGAAUGGUCUGAACCAGAUUCUGUGUGUUAGAGACCUCAUGAAUGGUCUGAACCAGAUUCUGUGUGUUAGAGACCUCAUGAAUGGUCUUGUGUUACCACCUUAUUGAUAGGAAGCGUGCAGUAGAUUGGUUUGAUCAGUUGAUUGACAGGUGUAGGACUGUAGAACGAUAAACGAUACACUUUCCUCUAGUAUGGAUGCUCAGCGACGUUUUAUAAUUGUGCAGCCUAUAGUUUAUAGUUAUCGUUAUAGUUAUUGGGUGGAUGGCCCGGGCCUAAACUCUGACACAACACAACUAACAGUAUUAUCACAACAGAACUAGCCUACUUGAAUGAAAUACAUAUACAAUUACACGUACUCAAUUACACUUAUACUUGACUGUUAUACUCUAUAAAUUGUCUCUUUCCAAUAAUUUACUCUGGCAAGAUUGCCACCAGCGCGUUGCAGUGGUAAGUAAAGCAGAAGUCGAAUCCUUCACUUCCGUUGUUUGGCCGUGCCCAUAGCAACGUUCGACAAUGAGGUGGAUAGAUGAACAGAGUUCUGUUAAAUCCAUUUCAGCAUCAAACGUUCCAUGACAAUAACGUUCUCAUUUACAUUCUGAACUAGAAUGUAUCGGAACUAUUGAUACCGACAUGGGAAAUAUACACAUUCUAAGGCUCAGUCGCAAAUAAUACCCUAUUCUCCAUUUAGUGCACUAGCAUAUAAGAAUAUGAGAUGUAGCCAAAGUCAAUUGAACUCAAACCAUGUCACUUUAACUCUGUAUCUCUAUCGUUGUGAUUUGUAUAAGUAACAUUAUGUGUGUUUUAAAUAAAAACUGUUGUAUAGAAUUCUGGUCAGAUCUGCUUGUAAAGAAUUUGGGUUUCUAGAUAAAGAGAUGAACCGUCUUUGUAUUGUAUGCAAUAAACUGUAGGCAUGUAUGAAUAGCUAAUAAUAAUCAAAUAAAAAUACUGACUGUGUAGCCUA